AAACAACUUAGGAUGGCGUAGUGUAUUGAGAGUGGAAGAACUAGACCAAUGGUAACAACCAUGGAGCCAGGGAAAACAACUUAGGACGGCGUAGUGUAUUGAGAGUGGAAGAACUAGACCAAUGGUAACAAGCUUGGACGCGUGGAACCCCGUGAUUUACGUGUAAGGCAUUUAAUGGGCGUCAAAAGGCCGUAUUAUAGCCUUUUCAUGGCGUGUGCACGUGGUUUACGGCGUUGUAAAGCCAUGGAACCAGAAAAACAACUUAGGACGGCGUAGUGUGUUGGGAGUGGAAGAACUAGACCAAUGGUAACAAGCUUGGACGCGUGGAACCCGGUGAUUUACGUGUAAGGGUUUUAAUAGGCGGCAAAUGGCCGUAUUAUGGCCUUUCAAUGGCGUGUGCAUGUGGUUUACGGCGUUCUAAACACUUGGAAGCAGAGAAAACAACUUAGAACGGCGUGGUGUAUUGAGAGUGCAAGAACUAGACCAAUGGUACCAAGUUUGGACGCGUGGAACCACGUGAUUUACGUGUAAGGCCUUUAUUAGGCGUCAAAAGGCCGUAUUAUAGCCUUUUCAUGGCGUGUGCGUGUGGUUUACGGCGUUGUAAAGCCAUGGAACCAGGAAAAACAACUUAGGACGGCGUAGUGUAUUGAGAGUGGAAGAACUAGACCAAUGGUAACAAGCUUGGACGCGUGGAACCACGUGAUUUACGUGUAAGGCCUUUAUUAGGCGUCCAGAGGCCGUAUUAUAGCCUUCAUGGCUUGUGCAUGUGGAUUACUGCGUUGUAAAGCCAUGGAGCCAGGGAAAACAACUUAGGACGGCGUAGUGUAUUGAGAGUGGAAGAACUAGACCAAUGGUACCAAGCUUGAACGCGUGGAACCAUGUGAUUUACGUGUAAGGCCUUUAUUAGGCGUCCAGAGGCCGUAUUAUAGCCUUUCAUGGCGUGUGCAUGUGGAUUACGGCGUUGUAAAGCCAUGGAACCAGGGAAAACAACUUAGGACGGCGUAGUGUAUUGAGAUUAGAAAAACUAGACCAAUGGUAACAAGCUUAGACGCGUGGAACCCCGUGAUUUACGUGUAAGGCAUUUAAUGGGCGUCAAAAGGCCGUAUUAUAGCCUUUUCAUGGCGUGUGCACGUGGUUUACGGCGUUGUAAAGCCAUGGAACCAGGAAAAACAACUUAGGACGGCGUAGUGUAUUGGGAGUGGAAGAACUAGACCAAUGGUACCAAGCUUGGACGCGUGGAACCACGUGAUUUACGUGUAAGGCCUUUAUUAGGCGUCCAGAGGCCGUAUUAUAGCCUUUUCAUGGCGUGUGCAUGUGGAUUACGGCGUUGUAAAGCCAUGGAACCAGGGAAAACAACUUAGGACGGCGUAGUGUAUUGAGAGUGGAAGAACUAGACCAAUGGUAACAAGCUUGGACGCGUGGAACCCGGUCAUUUACGUGUAAGGCCUUUAUUAGGCGUCCAGAGGCCGUAUUAUAGCCUUUUCAUGGCGUGUGCAUGUGGAUUACGGCGUUGUAAAGCCAUGGAGCCAGGGAAAACAACUUAGGACGGCAUAGUGUAUUGAGAGUGGAAGAACUAGACCAAUGGUAACAAGCUUGGACGCGUGGAACCCCGUGAUUUACGUGUAAGGCAUUUAAUGGGCGUCAAAAGACCGUAUUAUAGCCUUUUCAUGGCGUGUGCAUGUGGAUUACGGCGUUGUAAAGCCAUGGAACCAGGGAAAACAACUUAGGACGGCGUAGUGUAUUGAGAGUGGAAGAACUAUACCAAUGGUAACAAGCUUGGACGCGUGGAACCCGGUGAUUUACGUGUAAGGCAUUUAAUAGGCGUCAAAAGGCCGUAUUAUAGCAUUUUCAUGGCGUGUGCAAGUGGUUUACGGCGUUGUAAAGCCAUGGAACCAGGAAAAACAACUUAGGACGGCGUAGUGUAUUGAGAGUGAAAGAACUAGACCAAUGGUAACAUGCUUGGACGCGUGGAACCACGUGAUUUACGUGUAAGGCCUUUAUUAGGCGUCAAAAGGCCGUAUUAUAGCCUUUUCAUGGCGGGUGCAUGUGGUUUACGGCGUUGUAAAGCCAUGGAACCAGGGAAAACAACUUAGGACGGCGUAGUGUAUUGAGAGUGGAAGAACUAGACCAAUGGUAACAAGCUUGGACGCGUGGAACCUUGUGAUUUACGUGUAAGGCCUUUAUUAGGCGUCCAGAGGCCGUAUUAUAGCCUUUUCAUGGCGUGUGCAUGUUGAUUACGGCGUUGUAAAGCCAUGGAGCCAGGGAAAACAACUUAGGACGGCGUAGUGUAUUGAGAGUGGAAGAACUAGACCAAUGGUAACAAGCUUGGACGCGUGGAACCCCGUGAUUUACGUGUAAGGCCUUUAUUAGGCGUCCAGAGGCCUGUUAUAUAGCCUUUUCAUGGCGUGUGCAUGUUGAUUACGGCGUUGUAAAGCCAUGGAGCCAGGGAAAACAACUUAGGAUGGCGUAGUGUAUUGAGAGUGGAAGAACUAGACCAAUGGUAACAAGCUUGGACGCGUGGAACCCCGUGAUUUACGUGUAAGGCAUUUAAUGGGCGUCAAAAGGCCGUAUUAUAGCCUUUUCAUGGCGUGUGCACGUGGUUUACGGCGUUGUAAAGCCAUGGAACCAGAAAAACAACUUAGGACGGCGUAGUGUGUUGGGAGUGGAAGAACUAGACCAAUGGUAACAAGCUUGGACGCGUGGAACCCGGUGAUUUACGUGUAAGGGUUUUAAUAGGCGGCAAAUGGCCGUAUUAUGGCCUUUCAAUGGCGUGUGCAUGUGGUUUACGGCGUUCUAAACACUUGGAAGCAGAGAAAACAACUUAGGACGGCGUGGUGUAUUGAGAGUGCAAGAACUAGACCAAUGGUACCAAGUUUGGACGCGUGGAACCACGUGAUUUACGUGUAAGGCCUUUAUUAGGCGUCAAAAGGCCGUAUUAUAGCCUUUUCAUGGCGUGUGCGUGUGGUUUACGGCGUUGUAAAGCCAUGGAACCAGGAAAAACAACUUAGGACGGCGUAGUGUAUUGAGAGUGGAAGAAGUAGACCAAUGGUAACAAGCUUGGACGCGUGGAACCACGUGAUUUACGUGUAAGGCCUUUAUUAGGCGUCCAGAGGCCGUAUUAUAGCCUUCAUGGCGUGUGCAUGUGGAUUACUGCGUUGUAAAGCCAUGGAGCCAGGGAAAACAACUUAGGACGGCGUAGUGUAUUGAGAGUGGAAGAACUAGACCAAUGGUACCAAGCUUGAACGCGUGGAACCAUGUGAUUUACGUGUAAGGCCUUUAUUAGGCGUCCAGAGGCCGUAUUAUAGCCUUUCAUGGCGUGUGCAUGUGGAUUACGGCGUUGUAAAGCCAUGGAACCAGGGAAAACAACUUAGGACGGCGUAGUGUAUUGAGAUUAGAAAAACUAGACCAAUGGUAACAAGCUUGGACGCGUGGAACCCCGUGAUUUACGUGUAAGGCAUUUAAUGGGCGUCAAAAGGCCGUAUUAUAGCCUUUUCAUGGCGUGUGCACGUGGUUUACGGCGUUGUAAAGCCAUGGAACCAGGAAAAACAACUUAGGACGGCGUAGUGUAUUGGGAGUGGAAGAACUAGACCAAUGGUACCAAGCUUGGACGCGUGGAACCACGUGAUUUACGUGUAAGGCCUUUAUUAGGCGUCCAGAGGCCGUAUUAUAGCCUUUUCAUGGCGUGUGCAUGUGGAUUACGGCGUUGUAAAGCCAUGGAACCAGGGAAAACAACUUAGGACGGCGUAGUGUAUUGAGAGUGGAAGAACUAGACCAAUGGUAACAAGCUUGGACGCGUGGAACACGGUCAUUUACGUGUAAGGCCUUUAUUAGGCGUCCAGAGGCCGUAUUAUAGCCUUUUCAUGGCGUGUGCAUGUGGAUUACGGCGUUGUAAAGCCAUGGAGCCAGGGAAAACAACUUAGGACGGCAUAGUGUAUUGAGAGUGGAAGAACUAGACCAAUGGUAACAAGCUUGGACGCGUGGAACCCCGUGAUUUACGUGUAAGGCAUUUAAUGGGCGUCAAAAGACCGUAUUAUAGCCUUUUCAUGGCGUGUGCAUGUGGAUUACGGCGUUGUAAAGCCAUGGAACCAGGGAAAACAACUUAGGACGGCGUAGUGUAUUGAGAGUGGAAGAACUAUACCAAUGGUAACAAGCUUGGACGCGUGGAACCCGGUGAUUUACGUGUAAGGCAUUUAAUAGGCGUCAAAAGGCCGUAUUAUAGCAUUUUCAUGGCGUGUGCAAGUGGUUUACGGCGUUGUAAAGCCAUGGAACCAGGAAAAACAACUUAGGACGGCGUAGUGUAUUGAGAGUGAAAGAACUAGACCAAUGGUAACAUGCUUGGACGCGUGGAACCACGUGAUUUACGUGUAAGGCCUUUAUUAGGCGUCCAGAGGCCGUAUUAUAGCCUUUUCAUGGCGUGUGCAUGUGGAUUACGGCGUUGUAAAGCCAUGGAGCCAGGGAAAACAACUUAGGACGGCAUAGUGUAUUGAGAGUGGAAGAACUAGACCAAUGGUAACAAGCUUGGACGCGUGGAACCCCGUGAUUUACGCGUAAGGCAUUUAAUGGGCGUCAAAAGGCCGUAUUAUAGCCUUUUCACGGCGUGUGCAUGUGGAUUACGGCGUUGUAAAGCCAUGGAACCAGGGAAAACAACUUAGGACGGCGUAGUGUAUUGAGAGUGGAAGAACUAGACCAAUGGUAACAAGCUUGGACGCGUGGAACCCGGUGAUUUACGUGUAAGGCAUUUAAUAGGCGUCAAAAGGCCGUAUUAUAGCAUUUUCAUGGCGUGUGCAUGUGGUUUACGGCGUUGUAAAGCCAUGGAACCAGGAAAAACAACUUAGGACGGCGUAGUGUAUUGAGAGUGAAAGAACUAGACCAAUGGUAACAUGCUUGGACGCGUGGAACCCGGUGAUUUACGUGUAAUGCAUUUAAUAGGCGUCAAAAGGCCGUAUUAUAGCAUUUUCAUGGCGUGUGCAUGUGGUUUACGGCGUUGUAAAGCCAUGUAACCAGGAAAAACAACUUAGGACGUUCUCGUGUAUUGAGAGUGGAAAGACUAGACCAACGGUAACCUGCGCAGGCACGCAGACCAACGUGAUUUACGUGUAAGGACUUUAUUAGGCGGCAAAGGCGGUAUUAUAGCUUUUCAAAGGCGUGUGCAUGUAGUUGACGGCGUUCCAAAGCUAUGGAGCCAGAGAAAACAACUUAGGACGGCGUAGUGUAUUGAGAGUGGAAGAACUAGACCAAUAAUAACAAGCUUGGACGCGUGGAACCCGGUGAUUUACGUGUAAGGCAUUUAAUAGGCGUCAAAAGGCCGUAUUAUAGCAUUUUCAUGGCGUGUGCAUGUGGUUUACGGCGUUGUAAAGCCAUGGAACCAGGAAAAACAACUUAGGACGGCGUAGUGUAUUGAGAGUGGAAGAACUAGACCAAUGGUAACAAGCUUGGACGCGUGGAACCUUGUGAUUUACGUUUAAGGCCUUUAUUAGGCGUCCAGAGGCCGUAUUAUAGCCUUUUCAUGGCGUGUGCAUGUGGAUUACGGCGUUGUAAAGCCAUGGAACCAGGGAAAACAACUUAGGACGGCGUAGUGUAUUGAAAGUGGAAGAACUAGACCAAUGGUAACAAGCUUGGACGCGUGGAACCUUGUGAUUUACGUGUAAGGCCUUUAUUAGGCGUCCAGGGGCCGUAUUAAAGCCUUUUCAUGGCGUGUGCAUGUGGAUUACGGUGUUCUGAAGCCAUGGAACCAGGAAUAACAACUUAGGACGUUCUAGUGUAUUGAGAGUGGAAGGACUAGACCAAUGGUAAACUGCGCAGGCACGCGAAACCACACGAUUACGUGUAAGGCAUUUAAUAGGCGUCAAAAGGCCGUAUUAUAGCCUUUUCAUGGCGUGUACAUGUGGUUUACGGCGUUGUAAAGCCAUGGAACCAGAAAAAACAACUUAGGACGGCGUAGUGUAUCGAGAGUGGAAGAACUAGACCAAUGGUAACAAGCUUGGACGCGUGGAACCUUGUGAUUUACGUGUAAGGCCUUUAUUAGGCGUCCAGAGGCCGUAUUAUAGCCUUUUCAUGGCGUGUGCAUGUGGAUUACGGCGUUGUAAAGCCAUGGAACCAGGGAAAACAACUUAGGAUGGCGUAGUGUAGUGAGAGUGGAAGAACUAGACCAAUGGUAACAAGCUUGGACGCGUGGAACCUUGUGAUUUACGUGUAAGGCCUUUAUUAGGCGUCCAGGGGCCGUAUUAAAGCCUUUUCAUGGCGUGUGCAUGUGGAUUACGGCGUUCUGAAGCCAUGGAACCAGGAAUAACAACUUAGGACGGCGUAGUGUAUUGAGAGUGGAAGGACUAGACCAAUGGUAACAAGUUUGGACGCGUGGAACCCCGUGAUUUACGUGUAAGGCAUUUAAUAGGCGUCAAAAGCCCGUAUUAUAGCCUUUUUAUGGCGUGUACAUGUGGUUUACGGCGUUGUAGAGCCAUGGACACAGGAAAAACAACUUAGGACGCUCUUGUGUAUUGAGAGUGGAAAGACUAAACCAAUGGUAACCUGCGCAGGCACGCAGACCAACGUGAUUUACGUGUAAGGACUUUAUUAGGCGGCAAAGGCGGUAUUAUAGCUUUUCAAAGGCGUGUGCAUGUAGUUGACGGCGUUCCAAAGCUAUGGAGCCAGAGAAAACAACUUAGGACGGCGUAGUGUAUUGAGAGUGGAAGAACUAGACCAAUAAUAACAAGCUUGGACGCGUGGAACCCGGUGAUUUACGUGUAAGGCAUUUAAUAGGCGUCAAAAGGCCGUAUUAUAGCAUUUUCAUGGCGUGUGCAUGUGGUUUACGGCGUUGUAAAGCCAUGGAACCAGGAAAAACAACUUAGGACGGCGUAGUUCAUUGAGAGUGAAAGAACUAGACCAAUGGUAACAUGCUUGGACGCGUGGAACCACGUGAUUUACGUGUAAGGCCUUUAUUAGGCGUCCAGAGGCCGUAUUAUAGCCUUUUCAUGGCGUGUGCAUGUGGUUUACGGCGUUCUAAACACAUGGAACCAGAGAAAACAACUUAGGACGUUCUAGUGUAUUGAGAGAGGAAGGACUAGACCAAUGGUAACCUGCGCAGGCACGCGAAACCACACGAUUACGUGUAAGGCAUUUAAUAGGCGUCAAAAGGCCGUAUUAUGGCCUUUUCAUGGCGUGUACAUGUGGUUUACGGUGUUGUAAAGCCAUGGAACCAGAAAAAACAACUUAGGACGGCGUAAUGUAUCGAGAGUGGAAGAACUAGACCAAUGGUAACAAGCUUGGACGCGUGGAACCACGUGAUUUACGUGUAAGGCCUUUAUUAGGCGUCCAGAGGCCGUAUUAUAGCCUUUUCAUGGCGUGUGCAUGUGGAUUACGGCGUUGUAAAGCCAUGGAGCCAGGGAAAACAACUUAGGACGGCGUAGUGUAUUGAGAGUGGAAGAACUAGACCAAUGGUAACAAGCUUGGACGCGUGGAACCCGGUGAUUUACGUGUAAGGCAUUUAACAGGCGGCAAAUGGCCGUAUUAUGGCCUUUCAAUGGCGUGUGCAUGUGGUUUACGGCGUUCUAAACACAUGGAACCAGAGAAAACAACUUAGGACGGCGUGGUGUAUUGAGAGUGGAAAAACUAUACCAAUGGUACCAAGCUUGGACGCUUGGAACCACGUGAUUUACGUGUAAGGCCUUUAUUAGGCGUCAAAAGGCCGUAUUAUAACCUUUUCAUGGCGUGUGCAUGUGGUUUACGGCGUUGUAAAGCCAUGGAACCAGGGAAAACAACUUAGGACGGCGUAGUGUAUUGAGAGUGGAAGAACUAGACCAAUGGUAACAAGCUUGGACGCGUGGAACCUUGUGAUUUACGUGUAAGGCCUUUAUUAGGCGUCCAGAGGCCGUAUUAUAGCCUUUUCAUGGCGUGUGCAUGUUGAUUACGGCGUUGUAAAGCCAUGGAGCCAGGGAAAACAACUUAGGACGGCGUAGUGUAUUGAGAGUGGAAGAACUAGACCAAUGGUAACAAGCUUGGACGCGUGGAACCCCGUGAUUUACGUUUAAGGCAUUUAAUGGGCGUCAAAAGGCCGUAUUAUAGCCUUUUCAUGGCGUGUGCAUGUGGUUUACGGCGUUGUAAAGCCAUGGAACCAGGAAAAACAACUUAGGACGGCGUAGUGCAUUGAGAGUGGAAGAACUAGACCAAUAGUAACCUGCGCAGUCACGCGGAAACACGCGAUUUACGUGUAAGGCAUUUAAUAGGCGUCAAAAGGCCGUAUUAUGGCCUUUUCAUGGCGUGUACAUGUGAUUUACGGCGUUGUAAAGCCAUGGAACCAGAAAAAACAACUUAGGACGGCGUAGUGUAUCGAGAGUGGAAGGACUAGACCAAUGGUAACAAGCUUGGACGCGUGGAACCUUGUGAUUUACGUGUAAGGACUUUAUUAGUCGUCCAGAGGCCGUAUCAUAGCCUUUUCAUGGCGUGUGCGUGUGGUUUACGGCGUUGUAAAGCCAUGGAACCAGGAAAAACAACUUAGGACGGCGUAGUGUAUUGAGAGUGGAAGAACUAGACCAAUGGUAACAAGCUUGGACGCGUGGAACCACGUGAUUUACGUGUAAGGCCUUUAUUAGGCGUCCAGAGGCCGUAUUAUAGCCUUCAUGGCGUGUGCAUGUGGAUUACGGCGUUGUAAAGCCAUGGAGCCAGGGAAAACAACUUAGGACGGCGUAGUGUAUUGAGAGUGGAAGAACUAGACCAAUGGUACCAAGCUUGGACGCGUGGAACCACGUGAUUUACGUGUAAGGCCUUUAUUAGGCGUCCAGAGGCCGUAUUAUGGCCUUUCAAUGGCGUGUGCAUGUGGUUUACGGCGUUCUAAACACAUGGAACCAGAGAAAACAACUUAGGACGUUCUAGUGUAUUGAGGGAGGAAGGACUAGACCAAUGGUAACCUGCGCAGGCACGCGAAACCACACGAUUACGUGUAAGGCAUUUAAUAGGCGUCAAAAGGCCGUAUUAUGGCCUUUUCAUGGCGUGUACAUGUGAUUUACGGCGUUGUAAAGCCAUGGAACCAGAAAAAACAACUUAGGACGGCGUAGUGUAUCGAGAGUGGAAGAACUAGACCAAUGGUAACAAGCUUGGACGCGUCGAACCUUGUGAUUUACGUGUAAGGACUUUAUUAGGCGUCCAGAGGCCGUAUCAUAGCCUUUUCAUGGCGUGUGCGUGUGGUUUACGGCGUUGUAAAGCCAUGGAACCAGGAAAAACAACUUAGGACGGCGUAGUGUAUUGAGAGUGGAAGAACUAGACCAAUGGUAACAAGCUUGGACGCGUGGAACCACGUGAUUUACGUGUAAGGCCUUUAUUAGGCGUCCAGAGGCCGUAUUAUAGCCUUUUCAUGGCGUGUGCAUGUGGAUUACGGCGUUGUAAAGCCAUGGAACCAGGGAAAACAACUUAGGACGGCGUAGUGUAUUGAGAGUGGAAGAACUAGACCAAUGGUAACAAGCUUGGACGCGUGGGACCACGUGAUUUACGUGUAAGGCAUUUAAUAGGCGUCAAAAGGCCGUAUUAUAGCAUUUUCAUGGCGUGUGCAUGUGGUUUACGGCGUUGUAAAGCCAUGGAACCAGGAAAAACAACUUAGGACGGCGUAGUGCAUUGAGAGUGGAAGAACUAGACCAAUGGUAACAAGCUUGGACGCGUGGAACCACGUGAUUUACGUGUAAGGCCUUUAUUAGGCGUCCAGAGGCCGUAUUAUAGCCUUCAUGGCGUGUGCAUGUGGAUUACGGCGUUCUAAAGCCAUGGAGCCAGGGAAAACUACUUAGGACGGCGUAGUGUAUUGAGAGUGGAAGAACUAGACCAAUGGUACCAAGCUUGGACGCGUGGAACCACGUGAUUUACGUGUAAGGCCUUUAUUAGGCGUCCAGAGGCCGUAUUAUAGCCUUUUCAUGGCGUGUGCAUGUGGAUUACGGCGUUGUAAAGCCAUGGAACCAGGGAAAACAACUUAGGACGGCGUAGUGUAUUGAGAGUAGAAAAACUAGACCAACGGUAACAAGCUUGGACGCGUGGAACCCAGUGAUUUACGUGUAAGGCAUUUAAUGGGCGUCAAAAGGCCGUAUUAUAGCCUUUUCAUGGCGUGUGCACGUGGUUUACGGCAUUGUAAAGCCAUGGAACCAGGAAAAACAACUUAGGACGGCGUAGUGUAUUGGGAGUGGAAGAACUAGACCAAUGGUACCAAGCUUGGACGCGUGGAACCACGUGAUUUACGUGUAAGGCCUUUAUUAGGUGUCCAGAGGCCGUAUUAUAGCCUUUUCAUGGCGUGUGCAUGUGGAUUACGGCGUUGUAAAGCCAUGGAACCAGGGAAAACAACUUAGGACGGCGUAGUGUAUUGAGAGUGGAAGAACUAGACCAAUGGUAACAAGCUUGGACGCGUGGAACCCGGUGAUUUACGUGUGAGGCAUUUAAUAGGCGUCAAAAGGCCGUAUUAUAGCCUUUUCAUGGCGUGUGCAUGUGGUUUACGGCGUUGUAAAGCCAUGGAACCAGGAAAAACAACUUAGGACGUUCUAGUGUAUUGAGAGUGGAAGGACUAGACCAAUGGUAACCUGCGCAGGCACGCGAAACCGCACGAUUACGUGUAAGGCAUUUAAUAGGCGUCAAAAGGCCGUAUUAUAGCCUUUUCAUGGCGUGUACAUGUGGUUUACGGCGUUGUAAAGCCAUGGAACCAGGAAAAACAACUUAGGACGGCGUAGUGUAUUGGGAGUGGAAGAACUAGACCAAUGGUAACAAGCUUGGACGCGUGGAACCACGUGAUUUACGUGUAAGGCCUUUAUUAGGCGUCCAGAGGCCGUAUUAUAGCCUUUUCAUGGCGUGUGCAUGUGGAUUACGGCGUUGUAAAGCCAUGGAACCAGGGAAAACAACUUAGGACGGCGUAGUGUAUUGAGAGUGGAAGAACUAGACCAAUGGUAACAAGCUUGGACGCGUGGAACCCGGUGAUUUACGUGUGAGGCAUUUAAUAGGCGUCAAAAGGCCGUAUUAUAGCCUUUUCAUGGCGUGUGCAUGUGGUUUACGGCGUUGUAAAGCCAUGGAACCAGGAAAAACAACUUAAGACGUUCUAGUGUAUUGAGAGUGGAAGGACUAGACCAAUGGUAACCUGCGCAGGCACGCGAAACCGCACGAUUACGUGUAAGGCCUUUAAUAGGCGGCAAAUGGCCGUAUUAUGGCCUUUUCAUGGCGUGUGCAUGUGGUUUACGGCGUUGUAAAGCCAUGGAACCAGGAAAAGCAACUUAGGACGUUCUAGUGUAUUGAGAGUGGAAGGACUAGACCAAUGGUAACCUGCGCAAGCACGCGAAACCACACGAUUACGUGUAAGGCAUUUAAUGGGCGUCAAAAGGCCGUAUUAUAGCCUUUUCAUGGCGUGUGCAUGUGGUUUACGGCGUUGUAAAGCCAUGGAACCAGGAAAAACAACUUAGGACGGCGUAGUGUAUUGGGAGUGGAAGAACUAGACCAAUGGUACCAAGCUUGGACGCGUGGAACCACGUGAUUUACGUGUAAGGCCUUUAUUAGGCGUCCAGAGGCCGUAUUAUAGCCUUUUCAUGGCGUGUGCAUGUGGAUUACGGCGUUGUAAAGCCAUGGAGCCAGAGAAAACAACUUUGGACUGCGUAGUGUAUUGAGAGUGGAAGAACUAGACCAAUAAUAACAAGCUUGGACGCGUGGAACCCGGUGAUUUACGUGUAAGGCAUUUAAUAGGCGUCAAAAGGCCGCAUUAUGGCCUUUCAAUGGCGUGUGCAUGUGGUUUACGGCGUUCUAAACACAUGGAACCAGAGAAAACAACUUAGGACGUUCUAGUGUAUUGAGAGUGGAAGGACUAGACCAAUGGUAACAAGCUUGGACGCGUGGAACCCCGUGAUUUACGUGUAAGGCAUUUAAUGGGCGUCAAAAGGCCGUAUUAUAGCCUUUUCAUGUCGUGUGCAUGUGGUUUACAGCGUUGUAAAGCCAUGGAACCAGAGAAAAAAACUUAGGACGGCGUAGUGUAUUGAGAGUGGAAGAACUAGACCAAUGGUAACAAGCUUGGACGCGUGGAACCCCGUGAUUUACGUGUAAGGCAUUUAAUAGGCGUCAAAAGGCCGUAUUAUAGUCUUUUCAUGGCGUGUGUAUGUGGUUUACAGCGUUGUAAAGCCAUGGAACCAGGAAAAAUAACUUAGGACGUUCUAGUGUAUUGAGAGUGGAAGAACUAGACCAAUGGUAACAAGCUUGGACGCGUGGAACCCCGUGAUUUACGUGUAAGGCAUUUAUUGGGCGUCAAAAGGCCGUAUUAUAGCCUUUUCAUGGCGUGUGCACGUGGUUUACGGCGUUGUAAAGCCAUAGAACCAGGAAAAACAACUUAGGACGGCGUAGUGUAUUGGGAGUGGAAGAACUAGACCAAUAGUAACCUGCGCAGUCACGCGGAAACACGCGAUUUACGCGUAAAGCCUUUAAUAGGCGGCAAAUGGCCGUAUUAUGGCCUUUCAAUGGCGUGUGCAUGUGGUUUACGGCGUUCUAAACACAUGGAACCAGAGAAAACAACUUAGGACGGCGUGGUGUAUUGAGAGUGGAAGAACUAGACCAAUGGUACCAAGCUUGGACGCGUGGAACCACGUGAUUUACGUGUAAGGCCUUUAUUAGGCGUCAAAAGGCCGCGUUAUAGCCUUUUCAUGGCGUGUGCAUGUGGUUUACGGCGUUGUAAAGCCAUGGAACCAGAAAAAACAACUUAGGACGGGUAGUGUAUUGGGAGUGGAAGAACUAGACCAAUGGUAACAAGCUUGGACGCGUGGAACCCCGUGAUUUACGUGUAAGGCAUUUAUUGGGCGUCAAAAGGCCGUAUUAUAGCCUUUUCAUGGCGUGUGCACGUGGUUUACGGCGUUGUAAAGCCAUGGAACCAGGAAAAACAACUUAGGACGUUCUAGUGUAUUGAGAGUGGAAGAACUAGACCAAUGGUAACAAGCUUGGACGCGUGGAACCCCGUGAUUUACGUGUAAGGCAUUUAUUGGGCGUCAAAAGGCCGUAUUAUAGCCUUUUCAUGGCGUGUGCACGUGGUUUACGGCGUUGUAAAGCCAUAGAACCAGGAAAAACAACUUAGGACGGCGUAGUGUAUUGAGAGUGGAAGAACUAGACCAAUGGUAACAAGCUUGGACGCGUGGAACCCGGUGAUUUACGUGUGAGGCAUUUAAUAGGCGUCAAAAGGCCGUAUUAUAGCCUUUUCAUGGCGUGUGCAUGUGGUUUACGGCGUUGUAAAACCAUGGAACCAGGAAAAACAACUUAGGACGUUCUAGUGUAUUGAGAGUGGAAGGACUAGACCAAUGGUAACCUGCGCAGGCACGCGAAACCGCACGAUUACGUGUAAGGCAUUUAAUAGGCGUCAAAAGGCCGUAUUAUAGCCUUUUCAUGGCGUGUACAUGUGGUUUACGGCGUUGUAAAGCCAUGAAACCAGAAAAAACAACUUAGGACGGCGUAGUGUAUCGAGAGUGGAAGAACUAGACCAAUGGUAACAAGCUUGGACGCGUGGAACCUUGUGAUUUAAGUGUAAGGCCUUUAUUAGGCGUCCAGAGGCCGUAUUAUAGCCUUUUCAUGGCGUGUGCUUGUGGAUUACGGCGUUGUAAAGCCAUGGAGCCAGGGAAAACAACUUAGGACAGCGUAGUGUAUUGAGAGUGGAAGAACUAGACCAAUGGUAACAAGCUUGGACGCGUGGAACCCCGUGAUUUACGUGUAAGGCAUUUAAUGGGCGUCAAAGGCCGUAUUAUAGCCUUUUCAUGGCGUGUGCACGUGGUUUACGGCGUUUUAAAGCCAUGGAACCAGGGAAAACAACUUAGGACGGCGUAGUGUAUUGAGAGUGGAAGAACUAGACCAAUGGUAACAAGCUUGGACGCGUGGAACCCGGUGAUUUAGGUGUGAGGCAUUUAAUAGGCGUCAAAAGGCCGUAUUAUAGCCUUUUCAUGGCGUGUGCAUGUGGUUUACGGCGUUGUAAAGCCAUGGAACCAGGAAAAACAACUUAGGACGUUCUAGUGUAUUGAGAGUGGAAGGACUAGACCAAUGGUAACCUGCACAGGCACGCGAAACCGCACGAUUCCGUGUAAGGCAUUUAAUAGGCGUCAAAAGGCCGUAUUAUAGCCUUUUCAUGGCGUGUACAUGUGGUUUACGGCGUUGUAAAGCCAUGGAACCAGAAAAAACAACUUAGGACGGCGUAGUGUAUCGAGAGUGGAAGAACUAGACCAAUGGUAACAAGCUUGGACGCGUGGAACCUUGUGAUUUACGUGUAAGGCCUUUAUUAGGCGUCCAGAGGCCGUAUUAUAGCCUUUUCAUGGCGUGUGCUUGUGGAUUACGGCGUUGUAAAGCCAUGGAACCAGAAAAAACAAUUUAGGACGGCGUAGUGUAUCGAGAGUGGAAGAACUAGACCAAUAUUAACAAGCUUGGACGCGUGGAACCUUGUAAUUUACGUGUAAGGCAUUUAUUAGGCGUCCAGAGGCCGUAAUAAAGCCUUUUCAUGGCGUGUGCAUGUGGAUUACGGCGUUGUAAAGCCAUGGAGCCAGGGAAAACAACUUAGGACGGCGUAGUGUAUUGAGAGUGGAAGAACUAGACCAAUGGUAACAAGCUUGGACGCGUGGAACCCCGAGAUUUACGUGUAAGGCAUUUAAUGGGCGUCAAAGGCCGUAUUAUAGCCUUUUCAUGGCGUGUGGACGUGGUUUACGGCGUUGUAAAGCCAUGGAACCAGGAAAAACAACUUAGGACGGCGUAGUGUAUUGGGAGUGGAAGAACUAGACCAAUGGUAACAAGCUUAGACGCGUGGAACCUUGUGAUUUACGUGUAAGGCCUUUAUUAGGCGUCCAGAGGCCGUAUUAUAGCCUUUUCAUGGCGUGUGCUUGUGGAUUACGGCGUUGUAAAGCCAUGGAACCAGAAAAAACAAUUUAGGACGGCGUAGUGUAUCGAGAGUGGAAGAACUAGACCAAUAUUAACAAGCUUGGACGCGUGGAACCUUGUAAUUUACGUGUAAGGCAUUUAUUAGGCUUCCAGAGGCCGUAUUAAAGCCUUUUCAUGGCGUGUGCAUGUGGAUUACGGCGUUGUAAAGCCAUGGAGCCAGGGAAAACAACUUAGGACGGCGUAGUGUAUUGAGAGUGGAAGAACUAGACCAAUGGUAACAAGCUUGGACGCGUGGAACCCCGAGAUUUACGUGUAAGGCAUUUAAUGGGCUUCAAAGGCCGUAUUAUAGCCUUUUCAUGGCGUGUGGACGUGGUUUACGGCGUUGUAAAGCCAUGGAACCAGGAAAAACAACUUAGGACGGCGUAGUGUAUUGGGAGUGGAAGAACUAGACCAAUGGUAACAAGCUUGGACGCGUGGAACCACGUGAUUUACGUGUAAGGCCUUUAUUAGGCGUCCAGAGGCCGUAUUAUAGCCUUUUCAUGGCGUGUGCAUGUGGAUUACGGCGUUGUAAAGCCAUGGAACCAGGGAAAACAACUUAGGACGGCGUAGUGUAUUGAGAGUGGAAGAACUAGACCAAUGGUAAUAAGCUUGGACGCGUGGAACCCGGUGAUUUACGUAUAAGGCAUUUAGUAGGCGUCAAAAGGCCGUAUUAUAGCAUUUUCAUGGCGUGUGCAUGUGGUUUACGGCGUUGUAAAGCCAUGGAACCAGGAAAAACAACUUAGGACGGCGUAGUGCAUUGAGAGUGGAAGAACUAGACCAAUAGUAACCUGCGCAGUCAGGCGGAAACACGCGAUUUACGUGUAAGGCCUUUAAUAGGCGGCAAAUGGCCGUAUUAUGGCCUUUCAAUGGCGUGUGCAUGUGGUUAACGGCGUUCUAAACACAUGGAACCAGAGAAAACAACUUAGGACGUUCUAGUGUAUUGAGAGUGGAAGGACUAGACCAAUGGUAAACUGCGCAGGCACGCGAAACCACACGAUUACGUGUAAGGCAUUUAAUAGGCGUCAAAAGGCCGUAUUAUAGCCUUUUCAUGGCGUGUGCAUGUGGUUUACGGCGUUGUAAAGCCAUGGAACCAGGGAAAACAACUUAAGACGGCGUAGUGUAUUGGGAGUGGAAGAACUAGACCAAUGGUACCAAGCUUGGACGCGUGGAACCACGUGAUUUACGUGUAAGGCCUUUAUUAGGCGUCCAGAGGCCGUAUUAUAGCCUUUUCAUGGCGUGUGCAUGUGGAUUACGGCGUUGUAAAGCCAUGGAACUAGGGAAAAAACUUAGGACGGCGUAGUGUAUUAAGAGUGGAAGAACUAGACCAAUGGUAACAAGCUUGGACGCGUGGAACCCGGUGAUUUACGUGUAAGGCAUUUAAUAGGCGUCAAAAGGCCGUAUUAUAGCAUUUUCAUGGCGUGUGCAUGUGGUUUACGGCGUUGUAAAGCCAUGGAACCAGGAAAAACAACUUAGGACGUUCUAGUGUAUUGAGAGUGGAAGGACUAGACCAAUGGUAACCUGCACAGGUACGCGGAACUACGCGAUAUACGUGUGAGGCAUUUAAUAGGCGUCAAAAGGACGUAUUAGAGCCUUUUCAUGGCGUGUGCAUGUGGUUUACGGCGUUUUAAAGCCAUGGAACCAGGGAAAACAACUUAGGACGGCGUAGUGUAUUGAGAGUGGAAGAACUAGACCAAUGGUAACAAGCUUGGACGCGUGGAACCCGGUGAUUUACGUGUGAGGCAUUUAAUAGGCGUCAAAAGGCCGUAUUAUAGCCUUUUCAUGGCGUGUGCAUGUGGUUUACGGCGUUGUAAAGCCAUGGAACCAGGGAAAACAACUUAAGACGGCGUAGUGUAUUGGGAGUGGAAGAACUAGACCAAUGGUACCAAGCUUGGACGCGUGGAACCACGUGAUUUACGUGUAAGGCCUUUAUUAGGCGUCCAGAGGCCGUAUUAUAGCCUUUUCAUGGCGUGUGCAUGUGGAUUACGGCGUUGUAAAGCCAUGGAACUAGGGAAAAAACUUAGGACGGCGUAGUGUAUUAAGAGUGGAAGAACUAGACCAAUGGUAACAAGCUUGGACGCGUGGAACCCGGUGAUUUACGUGUAAGGCAUUUAAUAGGCGUCAAAAGGCCGUAUUAUAGCAUUUUCAUGGCGUGUGCAUGUGGUUUACGGCGUUGUAAAGCCAUGGAACCAGGAAAAACAACUUAGGACGUUCUAGUGUAUUGAGAGUGGAAGGACUAGACCAAUGGUAACCUGCACAGGUACGCGGAACUACGCGAUAUACGUGUGAGGCAUUUAAUAGGCGUCAAAAGGACGUAUUAGAGCCUUUUCAUGGCGUGUGCAUGUGGUUUACGGCGUUUUAAAGCCAUGGAACCAGGGAAAACAACUUAGGACGGCGUAGUGUAUUGAGAGUGGAAGAACUAGACCAAUGGUAACAAGCUUGGACGCGUGGAACCCGGUGAUUUACGUGUGAGGCAUUUAAUAGGCGUCAAAAGGCCGUAUUAUAGCCUUUUCAUGGCGUGUGCAUGUGGUUUACGGCGUUGUAAAGCCAUGGAACUAGGAAAAACAACUUAGGACGUUCUAGUGUAUUGAGAGUGGAAGGACUAGACCAAUGGUAACCUGCACAGGCACGCGAAACCGCACGAUUACGUGUAAGGCAUUUAAUAGGCGUCAAAAGGCCGUAUUAUAGCCUUUUCAUGGCGUGUACAUGUGGUUUACGGCGUUGUAAAGCCAUGGAACCAGAAAAAACAACUUAGGACGGCGUAGUGUAUCGAGAGUGGAAGAACUAGACCAAUGGUAACAAACUUGGACGCGUGGAACCUUGUGAUUUACGUGUAAGGCCUUUAUUAGGCGUCCAGAGGCCGUAUUAUAGCCUUUUCAUGGCGUGUGCUUGUGGAUUACGGCGUUGUAAAGCCAUGGAACCAGAAAAAACAAUUUAGGACGGCGUAGUGUAUCGAGAGUGGAAGAACUAGACCAAUAUUAACAAGCUUGGACGCGUGGAACCUUGUGAUUUACGUGUAAGGCAUUUAAUGGGCGUCAAAGGCCGUAUUAUAGCCUUUUCAUGGCGUGUGGACGUGGUUUACGGCGUUGUAAAGCCAUGGAACCAGGGAAAACAACUUAGGACGGCGUAGUGUAUUGAGAGUGGAAGAACUAGACCAAUGGUAACAAGCUUGGACGCGUGGAACCCGGUGAUUUACGUGUAAGGCAUUUAGUAGGCGUCAAAAGGCCGUAUUAUAGCAUUUUCAUGGCGUGUGCAUGUGGUUUACGGCGUUGUAAAGCCAUGGAACCAGGAAAAACAACUUAGGACGGCGUAGUGCAUUGAGAGUGGAAGAACUAGACCAAUAGUAACCUGCGCAGUCAGGCGGAAACACGCGAUUUACGUGUAAGGCCUUUAAUAGGCGGCAAAUGGCCGUAUUAUGGCCUUUCAAUGGCGUGUGCAUGUGGUUAACGGCGUUCUAAACACAUGGAACCAGAGAAAACAACUUAGGACGUUCUAGUGUAUUGAGAGUGGAAGGACUAGACCAAUGGUAAACUGCGCAGGCACGCGAAACCACACGAUUACGUGUAAGGCAUUUAAUAGGCGUCAAAAGGCCGUAUUAUAGCCUUUUCAUGGCGUGUGCAUGUGGUUUACGGCGUUGUAAAGCCAUGGAACCAGGGAAAACAACUUAAGACGGCGUAGUGUAUUGGGAGUGGAAGAACUAGACCAAUGGUAACAAGUUUGGACGCGUGGAACCCCGUGAUUUACGUGGAAGGCAUUUAAUAGGCGUCAAAAGGCCGUAUUAUAGCUUUUUCAUGGCGUGUGCAUGUGGUUUACGGCGUUGUAAAGCCAUGGAACCAGGAAAAGCAACUUAGGACGUUCUAGUGUAUUGAGAGUGCAAGGACUAGACCAAUGGUAACCUGCGCAAGCACGCGAAACCACACGAUUACGUGUAAGGCAUUUAAUGGGCGUCAAAAGGCCGUAUUAUAGCCUUUUCAUGGCGUGUGCAUGUGGUUUACGGCGUUGUAAAGCCAUGGAACCAGGAAAAAAACUUAGGACGGCGUAGUGUAUUGGGAGUGGAAGAACUAGACCAAUGGUACCAAGCUUGGACGCGUGGAACCACGUGAUUUACGUGUAAGGCCUUUAUUAGGCGUCCAGAGGCCGUAUUAUAGCCUUUUCAUGGCGUGUGCAUGUGGAUUACGGCGUUGUAAAGCCAUGGAACAAAGGGAAAAAACUUAGGACGUUCUAGUGUAUUAAGAGUGGAAGAACUAGACCAAUGGUAACAAGCUUGGACGCGUGGAACCCGGUGAUUUACGUGUAAGGCAUUUAAUAGGCGUCAAAAGGCCGUAUUAUAGCAUUUUCAUGGCGUGUGCAUGUGGUUUACGGCGUUGUAAAGCCAUGGAACCAGGAAAAACAACUUAGGACGUUCUAGUGUAUUGAGAGUGGAAGGACUAGACCAAUGGUAACCUGCAAAGGUACGCGGAACUACGCGAUUUACGUGUGAGGCAUUUAAUAGGCGUCAAAAGGACGUAUUAUAGCCUUUUCAUGGCGUGUGCAUGUGGUUUACGGCGUUGUAAAGCCAUGGAACCAGGAAAAACAACUUAGGACGCUCUCGUGUAUUGAGAGUGGAAAGACUAGACCAAUGGUAACCUGCGCAGGCACGCAGACUAACGUGAUUUACGUGUAAGGACUUUAUUAGGCGGCAAAGGCGGUAUUAUAGCCUUUUCAUGGCGUGUGCAUGUGGAUUACGGCGUUCUGAAGCCAUGGAACCAGGAAUAACAACUUAGGACGUUCUAGUGUAUUGAGAGUGGAAGGACUAGACCAAUGGUAAAUUGCGCAGGCACGCGAAACCACACGAUUACCUGUAAGGCAUUUAAUAGGCGUCAAAAGGCCGUAUUAUAGCCUUUUCAUGUCGUGUGCAUGUGGUUUACAGCGUUGUAAAGCCAUGGAACCAGAGAAAAAAACUUAGGACGGCGUAGUGUAUUGAGAGUGGAAGAACUAGACCAAUGGUAACAAGCUUGGACGCGUGGAACCCCGUGAUUUACGUGUAAGGCAUUUAAUAGGCGUCAAAAGGCCGUAUUAUAGUCUUUUCAUGGCGUGUGCAUGUGGUUUACAGCGUUGUAAAGCCAUGGAACCAGGAAAAACAACUUAGGACGUUCUAGUGUAUUGAGAGUGGAAGGACUAGACCAAUGGUAACAAGCUUGGACGCGUGGAACCACGUGAUUUACGUGUAAGGCCUUUAUUAGGCGUCCAGAGGCCGUAUUAUAGCCUUUUCAUGGCGUGUGCAUGUGGAUUACGGCGUUGAAAAGCCAUGGAACCAGGGAAAACAACUUAGGACGGCGUAGUGUAUUGAGAGUGGAAGAACUAGACCAAUGGUAACAAGCUUGGACGCGUGGAACCCGGUGAUUUACGUGUAAGGCAUUUAAUAGGCGUCAAAAGGCCGUAUUAUAGGAUUUUCAUGCCGUGUGCAUGUGGUUUACAGCGUUGUAAAGCCAUGGAACCAGGAAAAACAACUUAGGACGGCGUAGUGCAUUGAGAGUGGAAGAACUAGACCAAUAGUAACCUGCGCAGUGACGCGGAAACACGCGAUUUACGCGUAAAGCCUUUAAUAGGCGGCAAAUGGCCGUAUUAUGGCCUUUCAAUGGCGUGUGCAUGUGGUUUACGGCGUUCUAAACACAUGGAACCAGAGAAAACAACUUAGGACGGCGUGGUGUAUUGAGAGUGGAAGAACUAGACCAAUGGUACCAAGCUUGGACGCGUGGAACCACGUGAUUUACGUGUAAGGCCUUUAUUAGGCGUCAAAAGGCCGCGUUAUAGCCUUUUCAUGGCGUGUGCAUGUGGUUUACGGCGUUGUAAAGCCAUGGAACCAGAAAAAACAACUUAGGACGGGUAGUGUAUUGGGAGUGGAAGAACUAGACCAAUGGUAACAAGCUUGGACGCGUGGAACCCCGUGAUUUACGUGUAAGGCAUUUAUUGGGCGUCAAAAGGCCGUAUUAUAGCCUUUUCAUGGCGUGUGCACGUGGUUUACGGCGUUGUAAAGCCAUGGAACCAGGAAAAACAACUUAGGACGUUCUAGUGUAUUGAGAGUGGAAGGACUAGGCCAAUGGUAACCUGCACAGGCACACGAAACCACACGAUUACGUGUAAGGCAUUUAAUAGGCGUCAAAAGGCCGUAUUAUAGCCUCUUCAUGGCGUGUGUAUGUGGUUUACAUCGUUGUAAAGCCAUGGAACCAGGGAAAACAACUUAGGACGGCGUAGUGUAUUGAGAGUGGAAGAACUAGACCAAUGGUAACAAGCUUGGACACGUGGAACCCCGUGAUUUACGUGUAAGGCAUUUAAUAGGCGUCAAAAGGCCGUAUUAUAGCCUUUUCAUGGCGUGUGCAUGUGGUUUACGGCGUUGUAAAGCCAUGGAACCAGGAAAAACAACUUAGGACGGCGUAGUGUAUUGGGAGUGGAAGAACUAGACCAAUGGUACCAAGCUUGGACGCGUGGAACCACGUGAUUUACGUGUAAGGCCUUUAUUAGGCGUCCAGAGGCCGUAUUAUAGCCUUUUCAUGGCGUGUGCAUGUGGAUUACGGCGUUGUAAAGCCAUGGAACCAGGGAAAAAACUUAGGACGGCGUAGUGUAUUGAGAGUGGAAGAACUAGACCAAUGGUAACAAGCUUGGACGCGUGAAACCCCGUGAUUUACGUGUAAGGCAUUUAAUGGGCGUCAAAAGGCCGUAUUAUAGCAUUUUCAUGGCGUGUGCAUGUGGUUUACGGCGUUGUAAAGCCAUGGAACCAGAGAAAAAAACUUAGGACGUUCUAGUGUAUUGAGAGUGGAAGGACUAGACCAAUGGUAACAAGCUUGGACGCGUGGAACCACGUGAUUUACGUGUAAGGCCUUUAUUAGGCGUCCAGAGGCCGUAUUAUAGCCUUUUCAUGGCGUGUGCAUGUGGAUUACGGCGUUGAAAAGCCAUGGAACCAGGGAAAACAACUUAGGACGGCGUAGUGUAUUGAGAGUGGAAGAACUAGACCAAUGGUAACAAGCUUGGACGCGUGGAACCCGGUGAUUUACGUGUAAGGCAUUUAAUAGGCGUCAAAAGGCCGUAUUAUAGGAUUUUCAUGCCGUGUGCAUGUGGUUUACAGCGUUGUAAAGCCAUGGAACCAGGAAAAACAACUUAGGACGGCGUAGUGCAUUGAGAGUGGAAGAACUAGACCAAUAGUAACCUGCGCAGUGACGCGGAAACACGCGAUUUACGCGUAAAGCCUUUAAUAGGCGGCAAAUGGCCGUAUUAUGGCCUUUCAAUGGCGUGUGCAUGUGGUUUACGGCGUUCUAAACACAUGGAACCAGAGAAAACAACUUAGGACGGCGUGGUGUAUUGAGAGUGGAAGAACUAGACCAAUGGUACCAAGCUUGGACGCGUGGAACCACGUGAUUUACGUGUAAGGCCUUUAUUAGGCGUCAAAAGGCCGCGUUAUAGCCUUUUCAUGGCGUGUGCAUGUGGUUUACGGCGUUGUAAAGCCAUGGAACCAGAAAAAACAACUUAGGACGGGUAGUGUAUUGGGAGUGGAAGAACUAGACCAAUGGUAACAAGCUUGGACGCGUGGAACCCCGUGAUUUACGUGUAAGGCAUUUAUUGGGCGUCAAAAGGCCGUAUUAUAGCCUUUUCAUGGCGUGUGCACGUGGUUUACGGCGUUGUAAAGCCAUGGAACCAGGAAAAACAACUUAGGACGUUCUAGUGUAUUGAGAGUGGAAGGACUAGGCCAAUGGUAACCUGCACAGGCACACGAAACCACACGAUUACGUGUAAGGCAUUUAAUAGGCGUCAAAAGGCCGUAUUAUAGCCUCUUCAUGGCGUGUGUAUGUGGUUUACAUCGUUGUAAAGCCAUGGAACCAGGGAAAACAACUUAGGACGGCGUAGUGUAUUGAGAGUGGAAGAACUAGACCAAUGGUAACAAGCUUGGACACGUGGAACCCCGUGAUUUACGUGUAAGGCAUUUAAUAGGCGUCAAAAGGCCGUAUUAUAGCCUUUUCAUGGCGUGUGCAUGUGGUUUACGGCGUUGUAAAGCCAUGGAACCAGGAAAAACAACUUAGGACGGCGUAGUGUAUUGGGAGUGGAAGAACUAGACCAAUGGUACCAAGCUUGGACGCGUGGAACCACGUGAUUUACGUGUAAGGCCUUUAUUAGGCGUCCAGAGGCCGUAUUAUAGCCUUUUCAUGGCGUGUGCAUGUGGAUUACGGCGUUGUAAAGCCAUGGAACCAGGGAAAAAACUUAGGACGGCGUAGUGUAUUGAGAGUGGAAGAACUAGACCAAUGGUAACAAGCUUGGACGCGUGGAACCCGGUGAUUUACGUGUAAGGCAUUUAAUAGGCGUCAAAAGGCCGUAUUAUAGCAUUUUCAUGGCGUGUGCAUGUGGUUUACGGCGUUGUAAAGCCAUGGAACCAGAAAAAACAACUUAGGACGUUUUAGUGUAUUGAGAGUGGAAGGACUAGACCAAUGGUAACAAGCUUGGACGCGUGAAACCCCGUGAUUUACGUGUAAGGCAUUUAAUGGGCGUCAAAAGGCCGUAUUAUAGCCUUUUCAUGUCGUGUGCAUGUGGUUUACGGCGUUGUAAAGCCAUGGAACCAGAGAAAAAAACUUAGGACGUUCUAGUGUAUUGAGAGUGGAAGGACUAGACCAAUGGUAACAAGCUUGGACGCGUGGAACCACGUGAUUUACGUGUAAGGCCUUUAUUAGGCGUCCAGAGGCCGUAUUAUAGCCUUUUCAUGGCGUGUGCAUGUGGAUUACGGCGUUGAAAAGCCAUGGAACCAGGAAAAACAACUUAGGACGGCGUAGUAUAUUGAGAGUGGAAGAACUAGACCAAUGGUAACCAGCUUGGACGCGUGGAACCACGUGAUUUACGUGUAAGGCCUUUAUUAGGCGUCCAGAGGCCGUAUUAUAGCCUUUUCAUGGCGUGUGCAUGUGGUUUACGGCGUUCUAAACACAUGGAACCAGAGAAAACAACUUAGGACGGCGUGGUGUAUUGAGAGUGGAAGAACUAGACCAAUGGUACCAAGCUUGGACGCGUGGAACCACGUGAUUUACGUGUAAGGCCUUUAUUAGGCGUCAAAAGGCCGCGUUAUAGCCAUUUCAUGGCGUGUGCAUGUGGUUUACGGCGUUGUAAAGCCAUGGAACCAGAAAAAACAACUUAGGACGAUUAGUGUAUUGGGAGUGGAAGAACUAGACCAAUGGUAACAAGCUUGGACGCGUAGAACCCCGUGAUUUACGUGUAAGGCAUUUAUUGGGCGUCAAAAGGCCGUAUUAUAGCCUUUUCAUGGCGUGUGCACGUGGUUUACGGCGUUGUAAAGCCAUGGAACCAGGAAAAACAACUUAGGACGUUCUAGUGUAUUGAGAGUGGAAGGACUAGACCAAUGGUAACCUGCGCAGGCACGCGAAACCACACGAUUACGUGUAAGGCAUUUAAUAGGCGUCAAAAGGCCGUAUUAUAGCCUCUUCAUGGCGUGUGUAUGUGGUUUACAUCGUUGUAAAGCCAUGGAACUAGGGAAAACAACUUAGGACGGCGUAGUGUAUUGAGAGUGGAAGAACUAGACCAAUGGUAACAAGCUUGGACACGUGGAACCCCGUGAUUUACGUGUAAGGCAUUUAAUAGGCGUCAAAAGGCCGUAUUAUAGCCUUUUCAUGGCGUGUGCAUGUGGUUUACGGCGUUGUAAAGCCAUGGAACCAGGAAUAACAACUUAGGACGUUCUAGUGUAUUAAGAGUGGAAGGACUAGACCAAUGGUAACCUGUGCAGGCACGCGAAACCACACGAUUACGUGUAAGGCAUUUAAUAGGCGUCAAAAGGCCGUAUUACAGCCUUUUCAUGGCGUGUGCAUGUGGUUUACGGCGUUGUAAAGCCAUGGAACCAGGAAAACAACUUAGGACGGCGUAGUGUAUUGAGAGUGGAAGAACUAGACUAAUGGUAACAAGCUUGGACACGUGGAACCACGUGAUUUACGUGUAAGGCCUUUAUUAGGCGUCCAGAGGCCGUUCUAUAGCCUUUUCAUGGCGUGUGCAUGUGGAUUACGGCGUUGUAAAGCCAUGGAACCAGGGAAAACAACUUAGGACGGCGUAGUGUAUUGAGAGUGGAAGAACUAGACCAAUGGUAACAUGCUUGGACGCGUGGAACCCGGUGAUUUACGUGUAAGGCAUUUAAUAGGCGUCAAAAGGCCGUAUUAUAGCAUUUUCAUGGCGUGUGCAUGUGGUUUACGGCGUUGUAAAGCCAUGGAACCAGGAAAAACAACUUAGGACGGCGUAGUGCAUUGGGAAUGGAAGAACUAGACCAAUAGUAACCUGCGCAGUCACGCGGAAACACGCCAUUUACGUGUAAGGCCUUUAAUAGGCGGCAAAUGGCCGUAUUAUGGCCUUUCAAUGGCGUGUGCAUGUGGUUUACGGCGUUCUAAACACAUGGAACCAGAGAAAACAACUUAGGACGUUUUAGUGUAUUGAGAGUGGAAGGACUAGACCAAUGGUAACAAGCUUGGACGCGUGGAACCCCGUGAUUUACGUGUAAGGCAUUUAAUAGGCGUCAAAAGGCCGUAUUAUAGCAUUUUCAUGGCGUGUGCAUGUGGUUUACGGCGUUGUAAAGCCAUGGAACCAGAAAAAACAACUUAGGACGUUUUAGUGUAUUGAGAGUGGAAGGACUAGACCAAUGGUAACAAGCUUGGACGCGUGGAACCCCGUGAUUUACGUGUAAGGCAUUUAAUGGGCGUCAAAAGGCCGUAUUAUAGCCUUUUCAUGUCGUGUGCAUGUGGUUUACGGCGUUGUAAAGCCAUGGAACCAGAGAAAACAACUUAGGACGUUUUAGUGUAUUGAGAGUGGAAGGACUAGACCAAUGGUAACAAGCUUGGACGCAUGGAACCCCGUGAUUAACGUGUAAGGCAUUUAAUGGGCGUCAAAAGGCCGUAUUAUAGCCUUUUCAUGUCGUGUGCAUGUGGUUUACGGCGUUGUAAAGCCAUGGAACCAGAGAAAAAAACUUAGGACGUUCUAGUGUAUUGAGAGUGGAAGGACAAGACCAAUGGUAACAAGCUUGGACGCGUGGAACCACGUGAUUUACGUGUAAGGCCUUUAUUAGGCGUCCAGAGGCCGUAUUAUAGCCUUUUCAUGGCGUGUGCAUGUGGAUUACGGCGUUGAAAAGCCAUGGAACCAGGAAAAACAACUUAGGACGGCGUAGUGUAUUGAGAGUGGAAGAACUAGACCAAUGGUAACAAGCUUGGACGCGUGGAACCCGGUGAUUUACGUGUAAGGCAUUUAAUAGGCGUCAAAAGGCCGUAUUAUAGGAUUUUCAUGCCGUGUGCAUGUGGUUUACAGCGUUGUAAAGCCAUGGAACCAGGAAAAACAACUUAGGACGGCGUAGUGCAUUGAGAGUGGAAGAACUAGACCAAUAGUAACCUGCGCAGUCACGCGGAAACACGCGAUUUACGCGUUAAGCCUUUAAUAGGCGGCAAAUGGCCGUAUUAUGGCCUUUCAAUGGCGUGUGCAUGUGGUUUACGGCGUUCUAAACACAUGGAACCAGAGAAAACAACUUAGGACGGCGUGGUGUAUUAAGAGUGGAAGAACUAGACCAAUGGUACCAAGCUUGGACGCGUGGAACCACGUGAUUUACGUGUAAGGCCUUUAUUAGGUGUCAAAAGGCCGCGUUAUAGCCUUUUCAUGGCGUGUGCAUGUGGUUUACGGCGUUGUAAAGCCAUGGAACCAGAAAAAACAACUUAGGACGAUUAGUGUAUUGGGAGUGGAAGAACUAGACCAAUGGUAACAAGCUUGGACGCGUAGAACCCCGUGAUUUACGUGUAAGGCAUUUAUUGGGCGUCAAAAGGCCGUAUUAUAGCCUUUUCAUGGCGUGUGCACGUGGUUUACGGCGUUGUAAAGCCAUGGAACCAGGAAAAACAACUUAGGACGUUCUAGUGUAUUGAGAGUGGAAGGACUAGACCAAUGGUAACCUGCGCAGGCACGCGAAACCACACGAUUACGUGUAAGGCAUUUAAUAGGCGUCAAAAUGCCGUAUUAUAGCCUCUUCAUGGCGUGUGUAUGUGGUUUACAUCGUUGUAAAGCCAUGGAACCAGGGAAAACAACUUAGGACGGCGUAGUGUAUUGAGAGUGGAAGAACUAGACCAAUGGUAACAAGCUUGGACACGUGGAACCCCGUGAUUUACGUGUAAGGCAUUUAAUAGGCGUCAAAAGGCCGUAUUAUAGCCUUUUCAUGGCGUGUGCAUGUGGUUUACGGCGUUGUAAAGCCAUGGAACCAGGAAUAACAACUUAGGACGUUCUAGUGUAUUAAGAGUGGAAGGACUAGACCAAUGGUAACCUGCGCAGGCACGCGAAACCACACGAUUACGUGUAAGGCAUUUAAUAGGCGUCAAAAGGCCGUAUUACAGCCUUUUCAUGGCGUGUGCAUGUGGUUUACGGCGUUGUAAAGCCAUGGAACCAGGAAAAACAACUUAGGACGGCGUAGUGUAUUGAGAGUGGAAGAACUAGACUAAUGGUAACAAGCUUGGACGCGUGGAACCACGUGAUUUACGUGUAAGGCAUUUAAUAGGCGUCAAAAGGCCGUAUUAUAGCAUUUUCAUGGCGUGUGCAUGUGGUUUACGGCGUUGUAAAGCCAUGGAACCAGGAAAAACAACUUAGGACGGCGUAGUGCAUUGGGAAUGGAAGAACUAGACCAAUAGUAACCUGCGCAGUCACGCAGAAACACGCCAUUUACGUGUAAGGCCUUUAAUAGGCGGCAAAUGGCCGUAUUAUGGCCUUUCAAUGGCGUGUGCAUGUGGUUUACGGCGUUCUAAACACAUGGAACCAGAGAAAACAACUUAGGACGGCGUGGUGUAUUGAGAGUGGAAGAACUAGACCAAUGGUACCAAGCUUGGACGCGUGGAACCACGUGAUUUACGUGUAAGGCCUUUAUUAGGCGUCCAGAGGCCGUAUUAUAGCCUUUUCAUGGCGUGUGCAUGUGGAUUACGGCGUUGUAAAGCCAUGGAACCAGGGAAAAAACUUAGGACGGCGUAGUGUAUUGAGAGUGGAAGAACUAGACCAAUGGUAACAAGCUUGGACGCGUGGAACCCGGUGAUUUACGUGUAAGGCAUUUAAUAGGCGUCAAAAGGCCGUAUUAUAGCAUUUUCAUGUCGUGUGCAUGUGGUUUACGGCGUUGUAAAGCCAUGGAACCAGAGAAAAAAACUUAGGACGUUCUAGUGUAUUGAGAGUGGAAGGACUAGAUCAAUGGUAACAAGCUUGGACGCGUGGAACCACGUGAUUUACGUGUAAGGCCUUUAUUAGGCGUCCAGAGGCCGUAUUAUAGCCUUUUCAUGGCGUGUGCAUGUGGAUUACGGCGUUGAAAAGCCAUGGAACCAGGGAAAACAACUUAGGACGGCGUAGUGUAUUGAGAGUGGAAGAACUAGACCAAUGGUAACAAGCUUGGACGCGUGGAACCCAUGGAUUUACGUGUAAGGCAUUUAAUAGGCGUCAAAAGGCCGUAUUAUAGGAUUUUCAUGCCGUGUGCAUGUGGUUUACAGCGUUGUAAAGCCAUGGAACCAGGAAAAACAACUUAGGACGGCGUAGUGCAUUGAGAGUGGAAGAACUAGACCAA